UGAGGAGGCUGUCAUGCUCGGCAUUUUUUUGCUUGCUAUGGUUGUGCAGCUGAAGCUAUCGCGUUUCAAUACCUAAACGUAGUUUUAAGCAGGUUUGCAUGGUGAUUGGCGAAACGUUUUAGUCAAAGUGAACAUACAGUCGACCCUUCGUUGUGUGAUGCUUUGGGCAAAGCGUAAAUGAACGGAGAAUCCAACGCAUUCAAAGUACAUCACCAUGCAUCGAGCCGUAGGAAAGAAACGCUCCGCGCAAAAUUGAACUAGGAGAGAAAACAUUCACCAUUAGCAUCUAAGUGCCGCACAGAAAGGCGCAUGGUUACUAGCAACUAGUGCACCAUAAGCAUCGUUUAGUAAAUUAAGUUACCGGAACAAAACAAAUCUGAGGCGGAAGACCAACAUACACCGACGUAAAGAUACAACGACGCAGAAAAUUGAACCAAGUGCAGGGAGCCACCUUUUGCCAUAGAUUCCUUUGAUAUAGCAAGGCUUUUCAAAGCCGCCGAGAUCGGAGCACCUGCAUUAAGCUGAAGAACUAAUAAAGGCAAUGCCAUCGGCAGUUAGUGGCGGAGGAGGUCACGGCGGCGGUGGUGGCGGUGGAGGCAACAUGAAUCCACAGACGAACGAGGAAUGUGGCAUCCGGGACGUUUGGCGACACAAUCUAGACGAAGAGUUUCGUACUAUACGGCUGAUCGUACAGAAGUACCAUUACGUAGCAAUGGAUACAGAAUUCCCUGGCGUGGUCGCACGGCCCGUAGGCGAAUUUCGGUCUUCGGCAGACUACCAGUACCAGAGCCUACGAUGUAACGUGGAUCUGUUGCGCAUCAUCCAGCUCGGUCUAACGUUCAUGGAUGACGAUGGGCGUACACCGGCCGGCUUCUCGACGUGGCAGUUUAACUUUAAAUUCAAUCUGAACGAGGAUAUGUACGCACAGGACUCAAUCGAUCUGCUGCUUAACUCGGGCAUACAGUUUAAAAAGCACGAAGAAGACGGUAUCGAUCCGCAGGACUUUGCCGAACUGCUCAUGACGUCCGGUAUCGUGUUGAUGGACAAUAUCAAAUGGUUGAGCUUUCACUCUGGCUACGACUUUGCCUACCUGUUGAAGCUGCUUACCGAUCAGAACCUGCCGGCGGAGGAGGGCGAUUUUUUCGAGCUGCUGCGGAUCUACUUCCCAACCAUCUAUGACGUAAAGUAUCUGAUGAAGUCGUGCAAAAAUCUCAAGGGCGGCUUGCAGGAGGUGGCCGACCAGCUGGAGCUCAGACGGGUCGGACCGCAGCAUCAGGCUGGAUCGGAUUCACUGCUCACCGGAAUGGCAUUCUUCAAAAUGCGAGAGAUGUUCUUUGAGGACAAUAUUGACAAUGCCAAGUAUUGUGGUCAUCUGUACGGUCUGGGGACACCGUUCGUCGCGAAUGGCAACAAUACGACGCCAGGCGUCGGCGGAAGCGGUGGUGGUGCCGGUGGUGGCACCGGCAGCAGUGGAGCAACUACUGGCACCGGUGGCACCGGUGGCGGUGUGACCUCGUCUGGAACCGGCAACACAGGCAACAGCAACACGGCCGGAGGAAACAGCGCCAGCAACAACAGCAAUAGUACGAAUUAAUUUCUACCCAUCCUUCCCGGUCUCGGUCACGGUUGGUUCGCUUUCGGGUGGAUUUGUGAUCGUUUGAUCUAUUCGUUAUCGUAAACCAGAGCGGUAGAACCAGACGAGAAAUGGACCACGUUACUAAUAGCACAACGGCAGUCAUGCAGCAGAGACAAGCAGGAAGCCAGAAGCAGUAGCGCCAGCAGUUUCCUUUCCAUCAUCCUGAUGGAGUGCUGACGGUUGGCCUGGAUCCGGAAAGCAAAUGUGGGGUAAUAUGUUGGCUUGCAACAAUGUAUAAAAAAACAACCAUCGAUUUAUUGUGUUGCGGACGAGCUAACGCUAAGAUCGAAAAAGUUUAUAACUAUGACCCAUGAAAAGUGAUUAUUUGUAAGAGUCGAAAUUGAGCAGGUGUAAUAAAAAUUUGAAAAAAUGACUUCGAAUUA